AUGGCGUUAGUGCGGGAGCCGAUGCUGAUGUACGACGGCGGUUUCGACGCCGAGGCAUCCGCGUUCGACGGGCUCGGCUACGGCGGCCACGACGCGCUGCUCGGAGGUGUCGACGCGGCGGCGCUCUGGGGCUACGCCUACGCCCAGGACGAGCCUGCCGGCGCCGCCAGCGCCUACGUGCGGGACAGUGCGAGCUGGGCGAGCGCGGGGCCUUCAGUGCUCUCGUUCCGCCACGGCGCGCGGGGCCACGCGGCCCAGCAGGAGGUCGUGGAGGAGGAGCCCGACUGCGACGCGUGGGUGGACGACAUGGACGUAGAUCAGGGCCAUCAGCACGCGGCGCCGGCGUUGACCAUAGGGUUCGACCCGGCCACGGGCUGCUUCAGCCUGACGCAGAGCUCCGUCGGCGCGCGGCGGCCGUUCGGGCUCCUGUUCCCGAGCACGUCCAACGGCUCGCCCGAUGCCGCGGCGCCGGCGCGCGGUUCCUCGAAGCGAUCGUACGCGGCGCGCGUGCAGGACCAGGACGCGGAGCCGCGGGCCACCAAGAAGCCGUGCGAUGCGAGCAGGAAGACGAGCAAGGCGAAGCCGGCGGCGCCCACCACCACCUCGCCCAAGGGGGACCCGCAAAGCCUCACCGCAAAGAACCGGCGGGAGAAGAUCAGCGAGCGGCUCCGGACACUGCAGGAGCUGGUGCCCAACGGCACCAAGGUCGACAUGGUCACCAUGCUCGAGAAGGCAUUCAGCUACGUCAAGUUCCUGCAGCUGCAAGUCAAGGUGCUGGCGAUGGACGAGUUCUGGCCGGCGCAAGGGGGAACGGCGCCGGAGAUCUCCCAGGUGAAGGAGGCGCUGGACGCCAUCUUAUCGUCUCAGAGGGGGCAACUGAACUGA
rnacentral:rRNA from 1 species